CUCGCCCGGCUGGCAAGCAGACUGGCUUUUGGAAGCAAGCAAUGCUGUUUUGAACUGCUGCCAAAUGAGACAGCCUCUGCCGGCGCAGCUGAAACUUUUUACAGCCUCCCCUCACUUCGACAGGAAGAGACACGGGGAGCAAAUUUGUAGGAGAGGGGAAAAAAGAGCAAAAUAAAUCUUUGUAGCGUCUGCAACUAAGGCACUGCAUCAAGGAUUUCCUUCUGUGCUUUCACGCUCCCCUACUUUGGCAAGGCGCCACUUGAAAAAAGAUGUUUAAAAGAGAUGUUUUUUUCUCUCUGGGAGGAUUGAACGGGGAACGGAUGUGCUAGGAAGUUCAGCGAGUUCAGUAAAUGAGAAAUAUGUAAAUGCAUCAAUAACAAAGGAACUGUGACGUCACGCACUGUGCUGCCCGGGACACUGCCUGCAAGCAGACGGGACAAACGUGGACUCAUCUGACAAGAUGCCAUCUGCGUGCUAUAAAGAGUAUUCGUGUUUUACAUCAGAGCUUUCUGGCACAGGAAGAAGACCCCGCAACGAAUGACACGUUGUAGUCACUUCCUCUUUCACGGUAAGGACUUGAGGACCUGACAAACUUCUAGCAUUAUGACUAAACUGAAAAUCGCAAUAAGUUUCUUGGCGCCUGUUUGCAUAGCGUUUUGCUGCUCUUGACUAAACGACUGCAUGCAAAGUGCAACUUGGAUGAAGAUGUCAAACACAAGGUGAGUCAUAAAACCAAAUGAAUCAGUCAGGCAAAUGAGAUUAACCAAGCAUAGUGUCUUUCAAGACUCUUUGAGGAAGUACCAAGGACCGCUCAUGUCAUGUUUCCCUGAUAAAGAAAUCCAAAACGCAGGAGGUGGCAGAACAGCCUCUGGAUGUGUGUAAUGAUUAGCAAGGACUAUAACUGGAAGGCUCAAACUACCUGGGACAGAUGCCAAAUGCUGACAAAGGCAAUCAUUGCAUUCUCAGGGGCGAGCAAAAUCAACUCUUCGUCCUCUCGCGCUUCUUUCGGAAGGGGUUGUUUAUAUUCCUCAAGAAACCACCGAAACAUUGACUAAUUGCCGAAGGGGUCUUGUCACAUGCUUCGGCUAAAGGGCACGAAAAAUCACGUAAGUAUUGACCUGUUCUCAGUCUGGUGUUACUCGGUUUCUUGCCUCUUCUUCUGGGACCUGUUCAGCUGAUCAGGUGUUUCGCUUAAGUAAUCAAUUCCGAGUCUUAUUUUCCAGACUUUGUUGAGAAUCUGUGACUGGGAAAGAGGAGGGGUACAACCUGACCUCGCUUUCCCGUAAAAACAAGUUUUGCGUGCUAGUUUGUCGCAAACGGCGAUGGGCACUUUAUGUGAUUUUCUGCAUGGCAAACCCUCUCUUCUUGAUCUCUGCUUUCUUUUACGUUACUCAAACUCCCUUUCUUUCUCCACCUCCUCUCUCCCUCUCUCAGCUUCUGUCUUUCACUUCGCAUCCUGUGCCAAAGUGGGCAGGGAGAAAGAGCUCGUGGUGAGGCGGGUGAAACGGAGGCCGCUGUACGUGCUCUUUCUUCAGCCACAACCCCGUGGAAGAGCAUGUUUGGUGGUAGCACGUUUCUAGGUCUCUCUCCCCGAGAUAGGCGUAGUAUGUGCAUGAGUCUGCUCUUCUCGCCGCCAUGACCCUGCCUUGUGUUCUUUGCCGUAGAAGCCUCUAGUCUGCAGGUAUUCCGUUUUUUUCUCGCUUUUACAUUUUGUAAUAUCCCAUCAAUUAUUUUGUCACUUUUUAUGAAAUUCUCUUAAAGCAUCAUUGUCGAUUCUUUUACCCAGCUGCUCGGGCUGUCUUGUUCACUGUUGUCUUCCUCUUGUAAACGUGUCUGCUUCACCCAAGUCCAUGCCUCGGAUUCCGCCAUUUCUACUACACUGAACGACUUUCGGACAAAUGUUGUACAUUUGAUAAUGUUUUUAGGCUCGAUGCUAUAUUCUAAAAGUCUUUUGUUGAUAUUUUCAGAAGUUAGUUUCACAAGUAGGCACGCGUUUGUUCAGAUAGCAUGCACGUUCUUUUCGCUUUGGGCCGUUUUGUGCAUUCGAUUUUGGGGGUUGAGUUUUUUUAAGGAUUUGAAUGCAUUCGAACAUCCAAACAAAGUUUGGCUGCUACCUUAAUGUUUUUGGAGGGAAAUGAGCACAGUGAUGUGCUUGGAUAUGAUGCUAGUGUUUCAUGGCCUAUAAAUUCCCCCUAAGUUGUACAUCCCUCAAAUUUCUGUACUUUUAUUUUUGUUGACUAUAUUACGGUCAGUUUUAUAUAUUAUAUUUUUAUAAAAAAAAGGUACCAGUGAGGACACAGCUGUGGUAGAAAUAGUACAUUUGAGACAUCACUUCGUCAGUACGAGAGUAUUCGGUCACUUGUUAGUGACCAAAAGAUUUCUUUUAUAUUCAGCAGGUAAUCUUUUGAAAAAUAUAGGCUUGACCUGUUUGUUUUCGAACGCUUUUGUUUCUGUUGCGUUUGCAUUGCAAAUUACACAAAUGCCAAAAGAAACAGAGUAGAGCUAGUUUGGGAAAGAAAAUAAUAAAAUACAACAUAUAAGGAUCUAAUUAUAUAAAACAAUUCACUAUAUGACAUUUGUUAUGCAGACAGGCAGAAGCAACUGAAGAAAAUACAGAAAAAAUAUUACGGACAGAAUACAAAAAACGGGGUGGGGGGAUAAUCUAAUUUGAGAUUUGUUUAAAACAAAUUGAUUAAAGACUAAAUUUUGGUUAUUGAUCACAACAUUAGAGGGUGGUUACAGACAUCCAACUAUUAUGUAAAUAUUCCGUGGCUUUUUGUCAAAUUUACAGUACGUCCCGAGUGAACAAUCGACGAAAUCAGCUUUCUUUAGGUAACAAAAGAUGUCUUUUUUUUAAGAGGUUCUUAAAAUUCGGACGAAAUGGCACCAAGUGACCACUGAUAUUGAAAAUGCAUUGAUUCAUUUGAUUUAAAUCUAAUUCGCCCCUUAAAAAAAUUACAAAGGAAAGCUCUCAAGAUGGCGUCGACAUGCCACGUGUUUGUGUACUACUGUACUAAGUGUAUUUUACUUAAAGGGAUUUUUGAGUGACUUAAAGGGAUUUUUAAUGCAGUCACUUCCAAAGAAGAGCAAACUUUUCAAACAAAUCCUUAUGUAACAGCAGAUCAGCUCUCGACAUGCAAACAAAAGUUGAAAAGCUGUGAAAAAUAGUGCAGUUAGGUCGAAAUAACACACGAUGUGCUGAUGUUUGUUGAUUUAGCUUUAGACUGAGGAUUUUUUUUUUUUGUUAAUGUUCUUUUUUUGCACUUUAUUACUCAUCAGCAGAAGAAAGGAGGGCAGGUAAUUUGCUACUUUGCAGGGUAGAACCGAAAGUCUCGCCAGAGAGGCACAAAAGUUUGCGAAUACAUGUUUAUUUUGUUCAGAGACAGAGAGAGAUGGCAACAGGAAAAAAGUGGAGCGAGGGAGGGAGGAAAGGAGAGCAUUUCCUCCACCCCCUGUUCUCCUCAGAUGAACUUAUCAUGUAGCGUCAUAUUUUCUCUCUCUCCCUCUUUUUUUUUUUUUCUUUCCUCUUUCCCAUACAGCCCCGCUCCCUCCUACAUUUACUGUAGCUGACAAUCAGAUGCACUCUGGGCUCCGGCCCCACAUUAGCAAACAGGAAGUUUCAAAACAAACAGAGUUUAACCCUAAAAAUACUCUGAUUUCACCGCAUACACAAUCAGUUCUUCAACCUCACGCUGGAAUACGCAGAAUACAGCAUGAGUUUUGUAAUCACAAGAUUUUGACUUCAAGUAUUUUGAAAAUUCACCACAGGUGAGAAAACACCGCCGUUUGCCUUGCAAAUGCACAGACACGCAGCAUAUGCUCGGAGCCUAUUAGUUACAUGGCCCCAAACGGGGGCAGAGAUCUAAGUCUAAUCUGCAAGGUCUUUGAAUAAACAAGGCAAGGCAGAAUCCUUAUCGUCGAGUUUCGAUGAGUAACAGCAGGCUCUCCGGAGACCGCGUGACAGAGUCAACCAAGGUCAAGCCAAGCCCAACUUCCUGUUUUUUGGGGACCGCUAUUUUUGCUUUAAGGGCGUUUCUCUCUGGUGUAGGUUGAUGACAGCAGAUCAUAAGCAGAAUGAUUAAUGGCUUUUUCAAAGAGUUACAACUUUCUAUAGCUUAACUCUUUUACGCAGUGGCGCAACAGGUACGGUAACAGGAAGAAAAGUGUUGCUAAAUGUAAUUCAGUGAAACUGUGUACAGUGAUUCACACAAAUGAAAAAGAAUCUUGUGCAACACAAGCUAAAUUGCGAGGAGAAAUCACCAAUAGUGAGCAUGCCGAUCCACAGCUGUUCAAACAAAAGAUUACAGACGAGACAGCGACAGUUGCUAUUAAUAGUAAAAAUGAAACACAUCUAUUGUUCGUUCAUAACGUAUCUCAUAUUUUCCUCGUUCGUGAGAUGUUGCGAAUUCUAAUUUUCAGUUACGUGGACGGCGAAGGGAUUUUCAACAGGGAAGCUCCCCUCCUACGUUAAAUUAUGGCUGCACAAAGGCAUUGUCUCAAGUUCCGUUUUUUUUUUUUUAAUUGUGGCCUCUUACUCUUCCUCUGCCAACAUCCCCCACCCUUCAAUGCUCUACCCACCACCCUCUUCUCCGUUCAUUGAAAUUCAGCCUGGCAUACAGGCACUGCCCCUUUCUUGGCACCAGACUCAGGAACUCGGCGACAGAAAGGAGGGGAGAAAAUUAAAAUGAAAACAAGAAUAUGUACCAGUUUCUCAACCGCUGAGCUCGUGCCAAACAGCCAGCCCGUUUCGGCGGAUCUAACGCAAGAUUAUCGCUAGCCAUUUUCGGUGUACGGUUUCAGCAAAUAUCGUAAUCACAUAUGGUCCUGGCGACCAUAACGCAGUGGGAGGCGUUCAGCAGGCUAAUUAAUUUGCCUGUUUACCUCCUGCGAUUGGACGGUCACAAGGGCUAACGGCUGUGUCCUUUGAUCGCUAGGUAAGAUAGAAGGCCUUUUGUCGAUCUGAUGUGAUUUGUUUACCUCUUUUCCCCUCAGACAGGGAAGUAACAUGUUCUUUUGUGACUAUAAAAUGCUUGGUAUAUGAUUACACCAAAGGUGGUACGGCAUAGGUGAGGCGUAAACAAAUGCAGGCAAUUAAAAAUGGCAGCCAUUUGUUCAGAGACACAGCGAGGGCUUUAGCUGUUGCUGGGAAGAUGUGCAUCUUUUUAAGGUAAAAUGUCUGCUUAAUAGCUAAUUUGACAAACAGGUUUUGUCAUGAAUCACAGGGUGUGAUAUUAACCAAAGAUAUUUUUAACCUUGUGAUGUUUUUCAUAUAUUAGAGACACAGGCUCUGUUCCAAAACCUAGUGAGCUGCCCACAUAGGGAGCAUUUUAAGGCAUCAGGUAAGACAAGUCUCUUUAGCAAUCCCAGAAUGCAUCGCAGGCUCAGUGAAUAAAUACAAAUAAAUUUCAAGAUUGAUGCCAUUAUAUAAAAAAUGUCUAAAAAACAUAAAACAGUCUCAUUUUUAAAAGUAUCUUACUUAGUACUGUAGUGGUUUUAGCUUAGCCACAUGCUAACACCAUCUCGAGUGAAUUAUGAGUCGAACAUCAAGUAAAAAAAAACCCACUUAUAAUAUAAGAUUGCAAAGCAGUUCACUAGGCUUUGAAAAGGAUUUAGUCUGCAAACUGUACACUUGUUUAAUUUCAGAUAAAGAUGCUUAAGACUUAAAUAUAUAACGCAGGUCAAAGUCUUUGACAAAAAUGCAUGCCAUUACAGUUAUGAACUUAUUUGGUUAUUAAUCUGGCUCCCAUAUGUUGGCUAUAAGCUUAAGCUGAUUUAAAACGAAUAAACGUGGAAUUAUUAACAUAAGGAUACUAAUGCAUGCGAUGCCAUGAAGUACUACAUGCAGUUGUUUACGUUAACGCUUUGACUUUGUGUUAAGCCUGCAUGCAUUUAGUUUAAGAGGCUUGCUUUUUAAAGGUCAAGCGUACAGAAACACUUCAACAUUCUAAAAUGCCAUUAUUAAAUAUAACCUAGUUUUUAAUAGGCUUUUAUGGAGAUUGUUAGUGUUAGGCAAAGACCGUUUUUGCUUGUCAUUUUUGUAGCCGUGUUAUUUUAGUGUUAGUUUUCGUUAUCUUUCGGCUCCUUAGUGGAAAUCCCCUUACAGUACAGCAUUGCACUGUUAAGGUGUGGCGAUAAUUAUAUUUGUUGCGUCAUUAACAUUUAGCUUUUGAACAUUCUCUAUGACCUUUAGUGCUAAACAGAACAAUUAGGUGCAUUUUGCAUAAACACUUUGUUUUAUUGUGGGUUCAUUAAUGCAAAUUGUUUCCUGAAGUCUUCCAAUGAAGUGUCGACAGAUAUCUCUAACUGAUAUAGCUAUUAAAAGAUUAUUUUAAUAUUGCUGCAAUUCUGUUUUAUGGUAUUUCAUGAUUCCAUGUUCGUUCCACCCACGCUGUCUAAACUGAAAGCAACGGAUAAUCUCUAAUACUGUCUUAAAUACCCAUGUCGUAAAAAUCAGGGCAUUCCUGUCUAAUUUGCAUUAGCAUUAGCGUUACAUAUUUUUUAAAAGAGGUCAUUUACAUAUGAAAACAUCUAAGCGGCACUAAAAUGGACCUAAAUACCUGGCAAAGCACCAAAAGCACUGGUUAGUCCCCAUCAACGCGAUUACCGCACGUUGGGGAACAGAAGGCCACACUAGUUCCCUGUGUAAUCUAAAAAUGAUCCAAAUGCCACAUCUGUCAGACCAUAUUAGCAUAUUUUCCUCUUUCACGGGUGAGGCAUCAAAUGCGGUCCUUUUGUAGCUUCGCUAUAGAAUAGCUGGUGCAAUAAAAUAUCUAACAUGCUAAAGUUUUGUCUUUGAUUAGAGUAAGACAAUUGCAUGUCUGUACUGAUAGCAUUUGUAAAAAUGCACAACCUGAUGAAUUACACACCUACACUGAUAAGAGAUAAAGAUAGUUAAGCAUGGUUUGCUGCACAGCUUCUGACCUGACCUUCACCGAAAAGUUAGCAAAUCCGAGUUGGCACAGCCAAUGCAAGUCAUGCCAUCUCUCAGCUUCUGUCUGCUCCUUUGUGAUCGAGCAGAAUGCGUCUCGUGCCAAAACUUUUCAAUCAAAGCCCCCCCCCCCCAAAUGGGCCAGAAAGAGCAUGUGUAUGCUAAUUAGCUAAGAGGACUUUUGUAUGUUAACAAAUUGCUGAAAGCCAAUGUCUGGAAGAGAUUUGCAUGUUUAUUUAUGCAAAACAGACAUGUUCUACAUCUUAACAUGACACAGUAACUGCUCUUCGGCAUUUUGCAAAUGUUUUGCACGAUCAAAGUUUCUGCCGGAAGUUUAAGGAUGAGUAUACAUGCACAACAUUAUCAAAAUAAGAAACUGAUUUAACUGGAUGCUACUAUGCGUGAGUGCUGAUGUUCAGAGGUAUUUCCCCUUGUGAAAAAAACAGCAUAUGCUGGUUAGGUAUGUUUUGAUGCUGGUUUAAGCUGGUCCUUUGCUGGUUCAUGCUGGUCAUGUUGCUGGUCAAGGACCAGCUUAAACCAGCAAAGGACCAGUUUAAACUAGCAUCAAAACAUACCUAACCAGCAUCCCAGCAUUAAAACAUACCUACCAGCAUAUGCUGUUUUUUUCACCAGGGUCAUCACGUAUGCUAACGGGCAUCCAGAAGCGGAUGACUUUCGCAGCAUAUCUGCUAGUUCUGUUGUGUGUGAAAGAACGCUAUUGACUCGAGGAUGAAUCUUGGCUUUCUCGUGGUUGUACCGAUGCCAGGCGUCCUUCAGAGCGUCGAGAGGGAGACCCUUGCUCUUGCAAACAGCCUCUGAGAACAGUGAAUGCGUGAAUGGGUUUUUCAGGCACACCUCGCAGAGGUUGCAAGGAAUGCAGUGCACUCGCACCCUAAAAUGGCCGAAGCGACGCCAUUUUGUUUUCCCUCUAUUUUGCUGUGCGGAAUAGCAGAAUCAGCUUUGUUAAAGCUACAGGAGACAGCUGAGGAAGCCAUGUUUUGCAUCGUGUGUUUACUUCAAAAGCAUAGCUUACGCAAUGUUGUCUCGUUGGAAUGAGCUCAGUUUUUGGCAAAACGGGCGCGAAUUCCUGGCGAAGGAUCAAGACUUUUUUUCUUCAUGAUCCAAUGCCAGCCUCGCUAGAAUGAGAAUCCCGCGGUCUGCUGUCGGGCUGGUUGACAUCUGUUCUGCUGUCCUUGGGGCUGAGGUAGUAGAUUGAAUAGUUGUGGAGCCCUGCGCUCUCUCGCUGAGAUAACUAUACAAUCUACUGUCUUUCCUAAGGCGACAGCCAAAUCAUCCCUAAAUGAGUGUCUGCAUUCAUCCAAUGAGUGGGGAAGGAUAUUCACUCACAUUACGGAAGUAAAAUGGGUUGGGUUUGAUGUCAUUUUGACAUCAUACAUACGUAAGCGUGUCAGGCGAUGGGAUUGCCCUUUGGUGUCUUGACAGGGUGAGGUAGUAGGUUGUAUAGUUUGGUGGGAGGGAUCAAACCCUGUUCAGGUGAUAACUAUACAGUCUAUUGCCUUCCUUGUUGUACCAACUAUCUGCCUGCUGGUGGAAAAUCCCUGGAGUUUAAAUAUUACUUAAACCCUAUGGCCUUCACCCCAUGUGAACUAUGUGUACGUAAGCGGGGCGUUUAUUUCGGCACCCAUAUUUACAGGUUACAGUAUUCGCAAUGCCUGCAUAAACAGAGCAGUAUAGCAUGGGCAAUACACUCUAGUCGGUCUGCAAAAAUAGUCCUAUUAUAAACCUACACAAUUGCAGUAUAGAAUUUUAUGAAGCAGCAAUGUAAUGGAGCAAACAUGCUUUAAUCAGUAACUCUGAAACAUGUUAUAUUUAGUAAAUCUAAAUGAAUCAAGAUGAGUUUGAAAAGUUUGGGGUCAGUAAAAAAAUAAAAUAAAAGGAAUUUAGGCAAAGAUGCAUUUAAAUAAUCAAAAAUGACAAUACAGACUUUUAUAAUAAUAAAAAAAAAAUAAUCAUCAUAUUUUUUAUUUGUUUUUCUUUUUAUGUAUGAGAAUCCUGAAUCAUGGUUUCCACAAUGAAUGAAUGAAUGAAUGAAUGAAUGAAUAAAUAAAAACAAAUAAAUAAACAGGCAGAGUUGAAACUGUUUUCACUUAGAAACCUCUAGUAAAUAUCACAAUUAUUACAAAAGAAAUGCCAAGUAACAUUAAAUUAAAGUGGAAUUUUGAAGUAGAAAGAAUGAAAUAGUUUCUUUCUGUUUAAAUGUUCUCCAAUAAUCUGUUCUAUUUAGAAAUUUAAUUUAUAAUUUAAUUAAUUUAAUUUAAUUUAAUUAAUUUAAUGUAAUUUAUUUUUUUUUAUUAUAAAUUUUAUUUUUUACAGUGAUUUAUCAUAAUAAGAAAUGUUUCUUAAGCAUCAAAUCAGCAUAUUUGAAUGAUUUCUGAAAAAUCAUGUGACACUGUGGACUGAAUCAAAAUCAGGAAUUUAGGCAAAGAUGCAUUGAAUAAUCAAAAAUGACAAUCAAAUACUUUAAUAAUGUAAAAAAAAAAAAAAAAAAAAAAAAAAAAAAAAAGAAAGAAAGAAAGAAAAAAAAAUCAUCAGUAUUACUUUUUUUAACGUUUUAUCUAUCUGAGAAUCUUGAAUCAUGGUUUCCUAAAUAAAUAAAUACAUAAAUAAGUAAAAAAUAAAUUACAAAAUAAAUAAAUAAUACAAAUAAGCAGAGUUAAAAAUUAUUUAUUUAUAAACUGCUAGUAAAUAUCACAAUUAAUUACAAAGGAAUGCCAAGUAACAUUGAAUUAAAGUGGAAUUUUGAAGUGGAAAGAAUGAAAUAGUUUCUUUCUUUUUUAAUGUUCUUCAAAAAUCUUUGUUUUAUUUAGAACUUUUUAUUUAAUUAAAUUUUAUUUUAUUAUAUUUUAUUUUUUUAUUUUUUUUACAGUGAUUCAUCAUAAGAAAUGUUUCUUGCGCAUCAAAUCAGCACAUUCAAAUGAUUUCUAAAGGAUCAUGUGACACUGUGGACUGGAGUAAUUAUUAGCUUUGAAUCACAGAAAUAAACAACAUUUUACAAUAUAUUCAUAUAUUCUGUUUUUAACUGUAUUUUUUAACCAAGUAAAUGUGUCCUUGGUUGGCCUAAGAGACUUCCAAAAAUUUUGAAUGGUAGUGUAGAUUUAAUGAUGAUUAAGUUUGUAAUAGCUCACUCUACUAACCAUUUAAUAGGUUUUAGUCAUUCAUUAAAGGAAACACUCAUACUCACACUGUACGAGUAUGAAUGUAAAAGCACAACGUGACUCUUACAGCUGCGUGUAUGUGUCUGUAUUGUGAAACAGGCCCAACACUUUACCUAACAAGCCUGAACAACAUCCUUGCCUCCGCUGUGAGCUUAACAUGCUGAUCUAGUAUUACAUAUGAAGAGAAAAAUCAGAUUAAAAGAGAUUUACUGAGCUCAGAUUUAUGGCUUAAUCAAUAUUUUAGCUUUUCUGUUGGCUUGUGAUCAAACAGGAUUUUCACACAUCAUAACAGGAAAUUCAGUUUCAGUCAGACAAUGCAUGUGGCCUUGUUCAGUGAAUAAAUAAUAUAUAUAGAGCCAUGCAAUAUGCAUAAGAUGUUUUUGUUCUGUGAAUAAAAUACAGCUUUAUUCAACACUCUUUUUGCCUUUUUGAUUUUAUUUUAAUUUUUUGAUCAGUUUAAACAGUUAUCUUGCACAAAGGCUUGCUUGGCAGACGUUAGAGGUAAAGCAGUUUAUACAAUAUGUAUUUCUUUGAUGUUUAAUCAUUAUAAAAUCAUAUAAAACAAACAAACUGGGUAACACUUUAGAAUAGGGAGCACAUACUUCUCCCUCAGCAAACUCCUAAUUUGCAAUUUAUUGAUAAUUAGUAAGGUUCAGGUCUGGGGUCAGGUUAAUAUGUGUUAAUAUGUGCCUGAUAAAGGAUAAUAAACAGCCAAUAUACUAGUAAUGUGCAUACUAAUGAGCUACUAGGUAAUAAUGAGAAAUAAAGUGUUACCUCUACAUGUAUAAACUGGUACACUCUUAAAAAUAAAGUUUCUUUAUUGGCAUUGAUGGUUCCAUGAAGAACCUUAAGCAUCCAUUGAACCUUUCAAAUUUCAAAAAGUUCUUUUUAAAUGUUCCUUAAAAUAGUUCUUUUAGGAACUUUUCACUAAAAGGUUCUUUGGGGAACCAGAAAUGUUUCUUCUAUGGCAUCACUGCAAAAAAGCUUUUGGAACCUUUAUUUUUAAGAGUGUAGUAUUUUGUAGGCAUGUAGUUUAAAGAGCUUUUAAAGUAUCAAGAUACUUAGAAAAAUAAACAGUUUCUAAAUUAUGAUUUUGUGAGUGAAAAUUAUAUUUGCCAAUGAAGUAUAACUUGUAACUGCCUGAUAUUUGUAUGAUGUUGUAUGACUAGAAAUAAAGUAAGUUACAUACUA